rnacentral:ncRNA from 2 species
CCAAUAGCGUAUAUUAAAGUUGUUGCAGUUAAAAAGCUCGUAGUUGAAUUUCGGGAUUGGCGCAUCGGUCGUGCCUCACGGGGUAUGAACUGGUGCAGUCAAUUUCUCACCUUCUGGAGAACCGCGAUGUCCUUAAUUGGGUGCCGCGGGGAACCAGGACCUUUACUUUGAAAAAAUUAGAGUGUUUAAAGCAGGCAUUUUUGCUUGAAUACAUUAGCAUGGAAUAAUAAAAUAGGACGGCAUGGUUCUAUUUUGUUGGUUUCUAGGACCACCGUAAUGAUUAAUAGGGAUAGUUGGGGGCAUUAGUAUUCAAUUGUCAGAGGUGAAAUUCUUGGAUUUAUUGAAGACUAACUACUGCGAAAGCAUUUGCCAAGGAUGUUUUCAUUAAUCAAGAACGAAAGUUAGGGGAUCGAAGACGAUCAGAUACCGUCGUAGUCUUAACCAUAAACUAUGCCGACUAGGAAUCAGACGAUGUUAAUUUUUUAAUGACUCGUUUGGCACCUUACG